GAUUUCUGGUUCGAUGCGUUUGGCCCUCUCGGAGCAAUCCGGCGUGCGUGCCGAUGCGCGUCUGCCAUCCCUUGUAGAGAACGUUUCUACCCUUCACUGGGCCGGAUUCGCAAUCUACAUCUUUUACUUUGAAAAAAUUAGAGUGUUUCAAGCAGGCGACUCGCUGUGAAUACAUUAGCAUGGAAUAAUAACUUAGGACUUCGGUUCUAUUUUGUUGGUUUCUAGGACUGAAGUAAUGAUUGAUAGGGAUAGUUGGGGGUGCUAGUAUUCAGUGGCCAGAGGUGAAAUUCUCGGAUUCACUGAAGACUAACUUAUGCGAAAGCAUU
rnacentral:rRNA from 1 species